rnacentral:rRNA from 1 species
AGGAUCAUUAUUGAAAUAAACCUGAUGGGUUGUUGCUGGCUCUCUAGGGAGCAUGUGCACGCCUUGUCAUCUUUAUAUUUUGCUUCAUUUACCCCCCAAUGUAUGUCAAUAGAAUGUUGUGCCUAUAAUAAUAUAUACAACUUUCAGCAACGGAUCUCUUGGCUCUCGCAUCGAUGAAGAACGCAGCGAAAUGCGAUAAGUAAUGUGAAUUGCAGAAUUCAGUGAAUCAUCGAAUCUUUGAACGCACCUUGCGCUCCUUGGUAUUCCGAGGAGCAUGCCUGUUUGAGUGUCAUUAAUAUAUAUAUCAAACCUUCUCUUUGUUGAGCGGUUUUGGAUGUGGGGGUUUGCUGGCCUCUUAAAAAGGUUCAGCUCCUCUGAAAUGCAUUAGCAGAACAAACCUGUUCAUUGGUGUGAUAACUAUCUACGCUAUUGAAUGUAAGGGGCAGUUCAGCUCUCUAAUGGUCCUCGGACAAUUCAUCCAUUAAUGUGACCUCAAAUCAGGUAGGACUACCCGCUGAACUUAAGCAUAUCAAUAAGCGGAGGAAAAGAAACUAACAAGGAUUCCCCUAGUAACUGCGAGUGAAGCGGGAAAAGCUCAAAUUUAAAAUCUGGCGGUCUUUUGGCUGUCCGAGUUGUAAUCUAGAGAAGUGUUAUCCGCGCUGGACCGUGUACAAGUCUCCUGGAAUGGAGCAUCAUAGAGGGUGAGAAUCCCGUCUUUGACAUGGACUACCAGGGCUUUGUGAUGCGCUCUCAAAGAGUCGAGUUGUUUGGGAAUGCAGCUCAAAAUGGGUGGUAAAUUCCAUCUAAAGCUAAAUAUUGGCGAGAGACCGAUAGCGAACAAGUACCGUGAGGGAAAGAUGAAAAGAACUUUGGAAAGAGAGUUAAACAGUACGUGAAAUUGCUGAAAGGGAAACGCUUGAAGUCAGUCGCGUUGUCCAGGGAUCAACCUUGCUUUUGCUUGGUGCACUUUCUGGUUUGACGGGUCAGCAUCAAUUUUGACCAUUGGAAAAAGGCUAGGGGAAUGUGGCAUCCUUGGAUGUGUUAUAGCCCUUGGUCACAUACAAUGGUUGGGAUUGAGGAACUCAGCACGCCGCAAGGCCGGGUUUUAAACCACGUACGUGCUUAGGAUGCUGGCAAUAUGGCUUUAAUCGACCCGUCUUGAAA